rnacentral:misc_RNA from 1 species
CCUUGCAAGCUCUCAGAAUUCAACUUUUUGACAGCAAUUACAUUUCCACUUCCACUUUUCCCUGUUCCCUUCUCAUCAAGCCAACCUUUGAAGACUUUACCAAACCCUCCCUCACCAAGCACUGUGUCGGGUCUGAAAUUCUUAGUGGCAACCUUUAAUUCUGCAAAAGAGAAUAUCCUCAAAUUGGGGGUGGGCAAGAUCUGCCCAUUUGGAAAGGCCUCAUCACCGCUUCUCCCAGAAAAUCUGCUAUUCCCAGAGACAUUGCUUCCCUGAGAAGAUGCUGUAUUGGUGCUUCGGGACGAUGUUGUGUUGCUGGCCCGAGAAGAAGUUGUAUUGCUAGUUGUCUGAGAUAUCCCAACUGAACUAAGAUGACCAGUGGUGGUAGGUGUAGGACUACUAGCUGGAGAACACCAGCAAAUCCCCAUCAAAAAAAAUCCUGUUCGAUUGUAUAAAGACGACAGGAAGAUAAGCUUAUUGUUGUUGGUGCUGUAUCCAGCAUUCAAGGAUUCAAAGAAAGAAAGAAG